AUGGAUCGAUCAGUAGUUGACGACCCUGCACUUCCUCCUGAUUUCGCCUUGCUUGCCGGUCUUCACAUCGAUGGCUCCCAUCUUGACCAUGGCCUUGUUAAACUUGGCCUCCCACUGCCCGGGGAUGUUGGCACUGUCGCGCACCAUCUGUGUCGUCGCCGGUGUCGUGAGAAGGGCGGCGUCGGACGUGAACAGCACCUUGUGUGCGAGGACAUUCUUGUAGUACUGGUUAUCGAGAGCGUUGGGGGUCACCACGUCUUGGUUCACCGUGGGGUCGUUGGCCGUGCUCGGGUUGGCGGGGCACCUCCUCCUCAGGAAGUUGGCGAAGCCACCGUCGAUGUCGGAGGUGACGGCGAUGCGGUCGGAGACGAAGGACGAGCAGUGGGAGACCCCGAUAGUGUGGGCGCCGGAGAGCACGACCAUGUCCUCGGCGCUGAGGCCCUUAGCGGCGAAGCUGGCGACGAGCUGGUCGAGGUUGAAGAAUGGUGGCGGCAGGUUGUCCAGGGCCUCCGUGGAAUUGGAAACGCGGCCGUCGAGGCGGCCCGCCGGCAUGUUGAUCUUGACCUUCAUCUUGCUAAGGAAGUAGGCUGCGUCGCGGCUGGCGAAGGCGACGAUGUCGGCGCACGAGACCACUCCGGGGCACGCCUUCUCGACGGCGUCCUUGGCCGCGUCGAUCACCUCGAAGCCACGCAGGCUGGGGAAGUUGGGAGGGCUCAGCUUCUCGGGCUGCGGGUUGGCCGGCGUCGGGUCGAGGAGGACGGAGCCAUCACAUCCCUGGACGAAGCAGUCGUGGAAGAACAUGCGGAUGAGGCCGGCGCCGAUGCCGGCGUUCUUGUAGACGAACUUCUUCACCUCGUCCCUCACGAUGGCCUCCACUCGGGGGCAUGUCUUCUUGUAGUAACCCACCUCCAGGCCAUGGCACGCCGACGACGACAGCAGCAGUACGCAUGCCAGCGCAACAGAAAGCUUAAGGGAAGCUGCGGCCAUUGCCUCUCUUCUCAAGCUAGCUCUGAAUGA
rnacentral:rRNA from 1 species